GACGAACGCUGGCGGCGUGCCUAAUACAUGCAAGUCGAGCGAAGCGGCGGAUGGGUGAGUAACGCGUGGGUAACCUGCCCUUAAGUCUGGGAUACCAUUUGGAAACAGAUGCUAAUACCGGAUACUGAAGGAUGGCCCUGCGAUUCAUUAGCUAGUUGGUAAGGUACCGGCUUACCAAGGCGUUGAUGCAUAGCCGAGUUGAGAGAUUGAUCGUCCACAGUGGGACUGAGACACGGCCCAAACUCCUACGUGAGGCAGCAGGAGGGAAUCUUCCACAAUGGACGAAAGUCUGAUGGAGCAACGCCGCGUGAGUGAAGAAGGUUUUCGGAUCGUAAAGCUCUGUUGUUGGUGAAGCGGUAAUCAACCAGAAAGGCACGGCUAACUACGUGCCAGCAGCCGCGGUAAUUC
rnacentral:rRNA from 1 species